AGGCCAGUGGCCUAAUGGAUAAGACAUCAGUCUCUGAAGCUGGAGAUAGUGGGUUCAAGUCCCAUCUGGGUUG
rnacentral:tRNA from 1 species